rnacentral:rRNA from 1 species
CAUGCAAGUCGAAGCGAUUUCCUUUCGGUAAAGAAGCGGCGGACGGGUGUAGUAACGCGUGGGUAACCUUGCCUCAUACACAUGGAUAACAUACCGAAAGGUAUGCUAAUACAGGAUAAUAUAAGUAGAUUCACAUCGGAUUUUUUAUCAAAGCUCCGGCGGUAUGAGAUGGACCCGCGUCUGAUUAGCUAGUUGGUAAGGUAAUGGCUUACCAAGGCGACGAUCAGUAGCCGACCUGAGAGGGUGAUCGGCCACAUUGGAACUGAGACACGGUCCAAACUCCUACGGGAGGCAGCAGUGGGGAAUAUUGCACAAUGGGCGAAAGCCUGAUGCAGCAACGCCGCGUGAGUGAUGAAGGCCUUCGGGUCGUAAAACUCUGUCCUCAAGGAAGAUAAUGACGGUACUUGAGGAGGAAGCCCCGGCUAACUACGUGCCAGCAGCCGCGGUAAUACGUAGGGGGCUAGCGUUAUCCGGAUUUACUGGGCGUAAAGGGUGCGUAGGUGGUUUUUUAAGUCAGGAGUGAAAGGCUACGGCUCAACCGUAGUAAGCUCUUGAAACUGGGAAAACUUGAGUGCAGGAGAGGAAAGUGGAAUUUCUAGUGUAGCGGUGAAAUGCGUAGAUAUUAGGAGGAACACCAGUAGCGAAGGCGGCUUUUCUGGACUGUAACUGACACUGAGGCACCGAAGCGUGGGGAGCAAACAGGAUUAGAUACCCUGUAGUUCCACGCCGUAAACGAUGAGUAUUAGGUGUUCGGGGUAACCCCUUCGGUGCGCAACUAAGCAUUAGUACUUCGCUUGGG